rnacentral:rRNA from 1 species
UGGUAUGACUGGUCUCGCUGAUUCCUCCUUUCUGAAGAACUGUAAUGUCAUUAAUUUGGUGUUGCAGGGAAACAGGACUGUUACUUUGAAAAAAUUAGAGUGUUUAAAGCAGGCUAACGCUUGAAUACAUUAGCAUGGAAUAAUGAAAUAGGACGUUCGAUCCUAUUUUGUUGGUUUCUAGGAUUGACGUAAUGAUUAAUAGGGAUAGUUGGGGGCAUUAGUAUUCAAUUGUCAGAGGUGAAAUUCUUGGAUUUAUUGAAGACUAACUACUGCGAAAGCAUUUGCCAAGGAUGUUUUCAUUAAUCAAGAACGAAAGUUAGGGGAUCGAAGACGAUCAGAUACCGUCGUAGUCUUAACCAUAAACUAUGCCGACUAUGGAUCGGAUGAUGUUAAUUUUUUAAUGACUCAUUCGGCGCCUUACG